AACGAUACGUUUAUUCAAUCGAUGCUUGAUUUCUUCUUCUUCGUCGCCGUUUAGAUGAAAUUGAGAGAUGCAGCCUAAUCUCUUCCCAUUCAGUUUUGGGUAAUCCAUUUCUCUUAUCUAAACGAACUUGGUUAUGGUGCUGAAUUCGACAGCUCUAGGGUUUUCUUCUUUCUCCCUUUCUUAUUAUCUCAGGGUAGUGAUGGGAUGGAUUUGUCUAAGGUUGGUGAAAAAUUCCUCGGCUCUGUUAAAUCUGUUACGUCGCUUGGUCUCUUACCUUCUGCUUCUUUCUCUGAUCAUCCUGAGCAUUACCGUGAGAACAUGAUGAUGUGGGUAUUUGGCUAUGGCUCUCUUGUGUGGAACUAAUGAUUUCACUACGAUGAGAAAGUGUUAGGGUUCAUCAAGAGAUAUAAACGUGUCUAUGACUUUGGUAACUCUAUAGUCUUUGGUUAACGCUUUCACUAUGAAGCCGCAAUACAAGUCACAAACCAAACCAUAAGUGUUUAAUUAACCAAACCGUGGGGUUCAAGAUGUUCUUAGGGGUCACUGCAUCAGUGACAAGCUGGGACGCAGAUGAGGCUUGCUGCAGUAUAAUCUUGGAGGACUUCCCAAUACUUGCCAAGGUCUUUACUACUGCAAUGUCUUAAGUGGAGUCAUUAGAGGAGCUUUGGAAAUGGUUUCGAUGACAUGGACGUGUGAUGUUCUUCGAGGGGAUGAUGCUUAUGAGUUGCAGGAGAAGCUACUGAAACAAGUCGCAGAGGAGUACAACGAUGAUGAACAAUUUGUUCAAAAUUACAAAUUUGUGUGAGGGAACAAACUGAAUGUAACUACAAUAGACUACAAUAAAACCCAAUACGAGCCAACUUUUUUCUAAAGACCAAAUAACCAUUUAGCUUGUGAUAUGAGCGUUUAGUGGAGCAGCCGAGCAGCCGGUUGCUUCUAUACCAUAUACACGAUAUACUUGUGAGUUGGUAUGUAUCUUUUCAAAUAAUGUUGGCCGAGCAAACAAGUUA